CAAGUUAUAUACGAGAGAACAGUUCUCUCGAUGCUCACCCCUCCUCUAAAAAACCGCCUCUCCCAUCUCUCUCUUCUUUUUGAGUGAUCGAAUAUGAUGAUUAGAGUUUUAUGAAAACCCUGAUGACGAUGGAGGAGCUUAGAUCCAAGGGAACAUAAAGUUGUACAUGUGAGAAGGACUCAUUGCGAAAGGGCUAAAAUUGCGUGGAGACUCUGCACUUGUGGAGUUUCAGAUAAUGAUCAAAACUCUAUUAUUGAUUAUUUAUUUAUUUGUCGGCCCUACAGAACGACCGUGAUGAUUCAAAAAAGCCAAAGAACCCUUUGGUUAGUCCGUGAGAUCCCAUUAGAAUAACAAACAGGUUAGGGCGGCGGACCACAGCAAUGAAGAAGGGGCAAAUGACAAUGGAGCAGAUCGACGGUAGAGAACAACAAAUGAUGGCGGAGUAGAGCGAUGACGAAGUAGAACGACGACGGAUUUCAGCAAAAGAUGGAGGAGUGCUGCGAUGAAGAAGGAGGUUCUAUUUAGUCAUUUAGGGCUUAAGGCUUAUUUCAUAUGGGAAGGGUAAUUUCGGUAUGAAAUUACUUGUUUGAAUGAUGAGAUCAUCACUUAACAGUGAUAUCUAAUGGAAGGGGUACAAUUGAAGGAAUCUUCAAACUAGAGGGGAGGGGAUUGGUAUUUAUGAAAGCACAUGGGGGAACUUAGUAUUAGGCCAUAGUCCAAGGGAGGGGAAUGUAAUUUCUUCAAGAAAGUAUAGUGGUUUCAUAAAAUUAAGAUAGUGGCUCAACAAUCUUUUGAUUUUUGUGCGUUCAUCCAUGUAAAUAAUUUAGAGAAUUUGUAGGUUCAUCUUCU